rnacentral:lncRNA from 1 species
AGUGGGAGGGUGCUGCAGGCCUCUCCUGGAGGCCAGGAAUGCUGCUAAACACCCUGGGUCAGCAGUGCAAGGGUGAGGAACCCUGCUCUGGACUGUUGGUGCUAGACUGUUAAGGGGUUUUUAAAUUUUGCUUUGUUUUGCUUCCCUAUUGCUUGUAAAGAAAACAGUUAAGUUUACUGUGUCAUUUAUUCAUCGUUACUUCUGUAUUUCCAGUCAAGCUUUUGUCUCCAGCAUUCCAGUGAAAUGGGUUGAUCAGUCUCUUCUUGAAACAUUUUCCGGGGUUUGCUUCUGGAAUACCACUCUCCUUUUUCUCAUCCUUUUUCUUUCCUGGCUCUUCUGCCUCUUCCUGACUUGGUGGUAUAACCUAGGGCUCAGGUCUCACCUCUCAGAUGAGGGCUCUGAGUUCAUACAGCCCUUUGGAUCUCCUGGUUUUUUUCUGACAGAAUCUGUUUUGGUUUUGUUUGUGUUUUGAAUGAUACUAAGGGUAAUAAAAAUUCUUAUUUGAUAUACAAAUUUCUCAGAAGAUUGGCAUUUAGUAUUCAGCUUUGCUAUGCUUAAUUACUUCAUUUUCAGAAGAAGUAUACGAUUUAUAAAGUAUAUGAUAUGGAAGUUAUAAACAUUAACAUCACAUAAUUAAAGAAACAUACCCAUUUUAG